ensembl:lncRNA
CAGCCAGCCGGGCUGCCCAGGUAAUGGACGAAGUGAGUGUGCUGACUAGAGAAAAAUCAACCGAGAGCGUGAGCGAAGGUUACCGAAGAAAAAACAGAUGAUGGUUCCAAUGCCGGAGAGCUUGUCGAACGGAAGGGCCACAGAAGUUCCAUAGUGUGAAGGAUCAUCUGUGGGCUGGACUCUUCUCCGCCCUAUUCCUUUGUGGCUGUUUCCCCACCUGUGGAAGAUGAGCAGUCAUAGCUCCUGCUGAAGUCAUUCUUCGCUGAAACGUUGGCCUAUAUCAUUAGUUGUUGUUCCCCUUCGUCGUGUCCUGGAGCAUGGUCAGAGAGAGAGUUCUCCCCCCAAAGCCAAGUGAGUGUGCAUGGAUCCUGUGGAUUAACCUGCUGUUUGGACCCUCUGGCUCCCUGGAUCUUCCUCCAGGAUUAACCCCUGUCCAUAUGAGUGUUUUCUGUGUAAAUAAACUUUUCUAACAU